rnacentral:rRNA from 1 species
UACAGAGGGUGCGAGCGUUAAUCGGAAUUACUGGGCGUAAAGCGCGCGUAGGCGGCUUUGCAAGUCGGGUGUGAAAUCCCCAGGCUUAACCUGGGAACUGCAUUCGAGACUGCAUUGCUAGAGUAUGGGAGAGGGAAGUGGAAUUUCCGGUGUAGCGGUGAAAUGCGUAGAUAUCGUAAGGAAGACCAGUGGCGAAGGCGAAUCUCUGGACAGUUACUGACACUGAGGCACGAAGGCCAGGGGAGCAAACGGG